rnacentral:ribozyme from 1 species
AAAAAAGAAGUAAGAAUAACAAAAUUGAAGAUACGCGCGAAAAAUGCAGGAAAGGCUUUUGAUGUAUCGUGUGUUUUAUCUUUUUUUCUU